rnacentral:rRNA from 1 species
UACGUAGGGUGCGAGCGUUAAUCGGAAUUACUGGGCGUAAAGCGUGCGCAGGCGGUUUUGUAAGUCUGACGUGAAAUCCCCGGGCUUAACCUGGGAACUGCGUCUGAUACUGGGAGGCUUGAGUAUGGGAGAGGGAUGUAGAAUUCCAGGUGUAGCGGUGAAAUGCGUAGAUAUCUGGAGGAAUACCGGUGGCGAAGGCGGCAUCCUGGACCAUAACUGACGCUGAGGCGCGAAAGCUAGGGGAGCAAACGGG